rnacentral:rRNA from 1 species
CUUUNGCAGGGAAGAAGCGCAAGUGACGGUACCUGCAGAAGAAGCACCGGCUAACUACGUGCCAGCAGCCGCGGUAAUACGUAGGGUGCGAGCGUUGUCCGGAAUUAUUGGGCGUAAAGAGCUCGUAGGCGGCUUGUCACGUCGGAUGUGAAAGCUCGGGGCUUAACCCCGAGUCUGCAUUCGAUACGGGCUAGCUAGAGUGUGGUAGGGGAGAUCGGAACUCCUGGUGUAGCGGUGAAAUGCGCAGAUAUCAGGAGGAACACCGGUGGCGAAGGCGGAUCUCUGGGCCAUUACUGACGCUGAGGAGCGAAAGCGUGGGGAGCGAACAGGAUUAGAUACCCUGGUAGUCCAAGGG